GUAGGUGGCAAGCGUUGUCCGGAAUUAUUGGGCGUAAAGCGCGCGCAGGCGGUCCUUUAAGUCUGAUGUGAAAGCCCACGGCUCAACCGUGGAGGGUCAUUGGAAACUGGGGGACUUGAGUACAGAAGAGGAAAGCGGAAUUCCAAGUGUAGCGGCGAAAUGCGUAGAGAUUUGGAGGAACACCAGUGGCGAAGGCGGCUUUCUGGUCUGUAACUGACGCUGAGGCGCGAAAGCGUGGGGAGCAAACAGGAUUAGAUACCCUGGUAGUCCACGCCGUAAACGAUGAGUGCUAAGUGUUAGGGGGUUUCCCGCCCCCUUAGUGCUGCAGCUAACGCAUUAAGCACUCCGCCUGGGGAGUACGGCCGCAAGGCUG
rnacentral:rRNA from 1 species